AACCAUGUCACACUUGCUGCAAGGGCUGGAAGCAGCAGCUCGGGGCUGUUCCCAUUAUGCUUUGAAAGAGCAGCACUCUGCAGCCCAUGUGAGCUGUACACAGAAGAUUGCAUGCCUCCUGAAAGGAACUCUGCUCUUUCAAGAGGGUGGGAAGCACUAGAAGCCUCUAAUUACAGCAGUGCAAACUGUCAGGUCUUCUAUAGUAAUUGUAAAGAAGAUCCAAAGGAUAUUUGAUUUCACUGUCCCAUAAGAGCUUUAUAAUCAGGUAUGUGCUUCUCUAAUAAUUUACUGGUUUAAUUAUAUUAUG